GGGUGCGAUCAUACCAGCGUUAAUGCACCAGAUCCCAUCAGAACUCCACAGUUAAGCGCGCUUGGGCUAGAGUAGUACUGGGAUGGGUGACCUCCCGGGAAGUCCUAGUGUUGCACCCU
rnacentral:rRNA from 1 species